AAAGGUAGCAUAAUCAUUAGGGGUUUAAUUGGAACCUGGAAUGAAGGGUCGGACAAAGGAAGAGCUGUCUAUUAGAUUAAAUUUGAAGUUUACUUUUAAGUGAGAAGGCUUAAAUAAAUCAAAGGGACGAUAAGACCCUAUAAAGCUUUAUAUAUAAUUUAAAUUUAAUUAAUUUAAAUAUAAAGAUUAAAUUUAAUUAUUUUAUUUUGUUGGGGUGAUGUGAGUAUAAUUUGAAUUAACUGCUUAAAAAAAUUUCUUUCAUAGAAGGUUUAUUAAUAGAAUGAUCCUUUUUAAAGAUUAAAAGACUAAGUUACUUUAGGGAUAACAGCGUUAUUUCUUUUGAGAGUUCAUAUCGAAAAAGGAGAUUGCGACCUCGAUGUUGAAUUAAAAUAUCUAUAUAGUGCAGUCGCUAUAAAAGAGGGUCUGUUCGACCUUUAAAUU
rnacentral:rRNA from 1 species